GUUGGUCAUGCCACUGGUAUGUACUGGCCUCACUGAUUCCUCCUUCCUGAUGAGCCGUAAUGCCAUUAAUUUGGUGUUGCGAGGAAUCUGGACUGUUACUUUGAAAAAAUUAGAGUGUUUAAAGCAGGCUAACGCUUGAAUACAUUAGCAUGGAAUAAUGAAAUAGGACGUUCGAUCUUAUUUUGUUGGUUUCUAAGAUUGACGUAAUGAUUAAUAGGGAUAUUGGGGGCAUUAGUAUUCAAUUGUCAGAGGUGAAAUUCUUGGAUUUAUUGAAGACUAACUACUGCGAAAGCAUUUGCCAAGGAUGUUUUCAUUAAUCAAGAACGAAAGUUAGGGGAUCGAAGACGAUCAGAUACCGUCGUAGUCUUAACCAUAAACUAUGCCGACUAGGGAUCGGAUGAUGUUAAUUUUUAAUGACUCAUUCGGCGCCUUACGGGAAAC
rnacentral:rRNA from 2 species